GCAGGGAGGCAUAUCGGGCAUUGACAACCACACCUGUAGAAGCUCUGAAACAGUUUGUUCCCAGUGAUCCCAGGAGGAGUCGGAUCCUGGUGCACUCCUUCCUCCCAGUGGAGCCCUGCAGCAGCCUGGACGACGCCCCCAUCACAGACUCUCUCCGCUGGAUUUGACUUGGAAAAUGUCAGGUUCAGAAGAGUCUCCAGUCCCAGGUUCAGAAGAGUCUCCAAGUCCCAUGUUCAGAAGAGUCUCCAGUCCCAGGUUCAGAAGAGUCUCCAGUCCCAGGUUCAGAAGGUCUCCAGUCCCAGGUUCAGAGAGGUCUCCAGUCCCAGGUUCAGAAGAGUCUCCAAGUCCCAGGGUUCAGAAGAGUCUCCAGUCCCAGGUUCAGAAGAGUCUCC